AUGCCUCUCCCCGUCCUGCUCGCCCUGCUCUGCGCCCUACACGCUCCCGCGAGCUCCGCGUCCACGGAGACGUACUCCCUCUCGCCAGGCCAGUUGCUCGCCGGCGGCGACAAGCUCGUCUCCAGCGGCGGCAAGUUCGCGCUCGGCUUCAUCCAGAUCCCAGGCAGCGACAGCAAACCCUCCGGCUCCGGCGGCAACAGCACUCAGUUACGCAUAUGGUUCAACCGUGUUCCCAAGCUGACCUCGGUGUGGGUAGCCAACAGGGGAGGCAGCCCGGUGACAGGCGCCGCCUCCCCGGAGCUCACGAUCUCCGGCGACGGCAACCUCGUCAUCGUGGACCACGGCAAAGUCGCCUGGUCCACCCAAGCCGCCGCCACAGCCAGCAACAACAGGACGGUCCUCCUUCUCCUGGACACCGGGAACCUCGUCCUGCGCAGCGCCUCCGACGUGCUGUGGCAGAGCUUCGACCACCCCACGGACACUCUGCUCCCCGGCGCCACCAUCGGGCUGGACAAGGUCACCGGCCGGAGCCGCCGCCUCGUCUCCAGCAAGAACCGGAUCGACCAGGCUCUGGGCCUCUACUCCAUGGAGCUGGGCCGCAGCGGCGUCGUCCAGAUGCUGUGGGACUCGUCCGUGCCGUACUGGUCCAGCGGGGAGUGGAACGGCGGGUACUUCAGCUCGGUGCCGGGGAUGACCGCCCGCCACCUGUUUGGCUUCACGUUCGUCAACGACGACCGGGAGGUGUCCUUCGCCUACCACCUGCUCGACGAAACGAUCACCAUGUACAGCUUCCUGGACGUGUCCGGGCAGAGGAAGGUGUUGGCCUGGCACGAGGCUACGCAGAACUGGGCGACGGUCUACACCCACCCCACCGCGCAGUGCGAGGUACACGCCGCCUGCGGGCCAUUUACGGUCUGCGACGACAACGCGCCGACGCGGUGCAGCUGCAUGAAGGGAUUCUCCGUGGGUUCGCCUGAGGAUUGGGACCUUGAUGAUCGGAGCACGAGCGGAUGCAGGAGGAACACUCAGCUGAAUUGUGCUAGCAUUAGCAGCGGCACCAUGGUUGGCAUGGCUGACAUGUUCUACACCAUGCCGUCCGUCAGAUUGCCCUAUAAUCCCCACAGCGCCGUUGGACAUGUCGCCAGCGCAGUCGAAUGCGAGCAGGUCUGUCUGAGCAACUGCUCUUGCAGUGCAUAUACCUUUGGAAGUGGUGGCUGUUCUAUGUGGCAUGGUGGAUUGCUGAAUGUAAAACAACACCACCAGAUUGAUGGUGCUUCCAGCGGUGAUGGCGAAAUUCUUCACAUCCGCCUCGCGGCAAAAGAGUUCCGGACUCGGAAAAACAACAAUGUAGUUAUCAUUUUAGGUGCCAUUGGUGCAGGCCUCAACGCUCUGGGUAUCUUGGUACUCAUCGUAGUGCUACGCAGGACCAGGAGGAACAAAAGGUACAGUGAAACAUUAGACAAAAUCCAUGGUGGUAGUGGGCUUGUUUCAUUCAGAUACAGCGAUUUGCGGCGUGCAACUAGAGAUUUCUCGGAGAAGAUUGGGGCAGGUGGUUUUGGUUCUGUGUUCAAGGGGUCACUAAAUGAUUCGACCACUAUAGCCGUGAAAAGGCUUCACGGUUGUUAUCAACAAGAGAAGCAAUUCAGGGCUGAGGUGAGUUCAAUUGGAAUCCUCCACCAUACAAAUUUAGUCAAAAUAGUUGGUUUUUGUUGUGAGGGCGACAAGAAGCUUCUUGUCUAUGAACACAUGCCAAAUAGUUCCCUUGAUGCCCAUCUGUUCAGGAGCAGUGCCAAAACUCUGAAUUGGAGAACCAGAUACCAAAUAGCUCUUGGAGUUGCGAGGGGGCUGGCAUACUUGCACGAGAGCUGCCUGGACUACAUCAUACACUGUGAUAUAAAGCCGCAAAACAUACUUCUGGACGCAUUGUUUGUUCCUAAGAUUGCUGACUUUGGGAUGGCAAAGCUUCUGACAAGGGAUUUUAGCCGGGUCAUGACCACAACCAGGGGCACAAUUGGGUACCUUGCCCCUGAAUGGAUCAGUGGAGUGGCUAUCACACCCAAAGUCGAUGUGUAUGGAUAUGGGAUGGUGCUACUGGAGAUCAUAUCGGGGAGGAUGAACGCGAACGGAGAAUGCGGCAGCAGUGGUGAUGGCAUUGUUUAUUUCCCCAUCCAGGUGGCACGCAAGCUUCUCGAGGGAAAUGUCACGAGCUUCGUGGAUGAUAGGUUAAACGGUGAUGUCAUCAUCGACGAGGUUGAAAGGGCUUGCAAGGUUGCCUGUUGGUGCAUUCAGGACAGGGAGUUUGAACGGCCAACGAUGGGCAAGGUAGUCCAGAUUCUUGAGGGUCUUGUUGAAGUCGACACCCCUCCGAUGCCUAAGCUACUUGAAGCUAUCGCCGGAAGAUCAAAUUCAGCAUGCACCUGA
rnacentral:rRNA from 1 species